rnacentral:rRNA from 1 species
AUGAACGCUUGCCGCGUGCCUAAUACAUGCAAAUCGAGCGAACAGACGAGGAGCUUGCUCCUCUUACGUUAGCGGCGGACGGGUGAGUAACACGUUGAUAACCUACCUAUAAGACUGGGAUAACUUCGGUAAACCGGAGCUAAUACCUGAUAACAUCGUGAACCGCAUGGUUGAACAGGUUAAUACGAUCUUGCUGUCUCUUAUGGUUGGAUCUGCGCCGCAUUAGCUAGUUGGUAAGGUAACGGCUUACCAAGGCAACGAUGCGUAGCCGACCUGAGAGGGUGAUCGGCCACACUGGAACUGAGACACGGUCCAGACUCCUACGGGAGGCAGCAGUAGGGAAUCUUCCGCAAUGGGCGAAAGCCUGACGGAGCAACGCCGCGUGAGUGAAGAAGGUCUUCGGAUCGUAAAACCCUUUUAUUAGGAAAGAAAAAAUGUGUAAGUAACUAUGCACGUCUUGACGGUACCUAAUCAGAAAGCAACGGCUAACUUCGUG